rnacentral:rRNA from 1 species
CUACGGGUCGCUGCAGUGAGGAAUAUUGCGCAAUGGGCGAAAGCCUGACGCAGCGACGCCGCGUGGAGGAUGAAGGCUUUAGGGUCGUAAACUCCUGUUAAGUGGGAAGAAAUCUCCAACUCUAAUACAGUUGGAGGAUGACGGUACCAUUAGAGAAAGCACCGGCUAACUUCGUGCCAGCAGCCGCGGUAAUACGAGGGGUGCUAGCGUUAUUCGGAUUUACUGGGCGUAAAGGGUGUGUAGACGGCUUAUUAAGUCGGCUGUUAAAUACUUCGGCCUAACCGAAGAUCAGCGGUUGAAACUGAUAAGAUAGAGGAUGGAAGAGAGAAGUGGAAUUCUCGGAGUAGCGGUAAAAUGCGUAGAUCUCGAGAGGAACACCGAUGGCGAAGGCAGCUUCUUGGUCCAUUCCUGACGUUCAAACACGAAAGCGUGGGGAGCAAACAGGAUUAGAUCCGCGUAGUC